rnacentral:rRNA from 1 species
AGCAUGUCUAGCAUGCGAGUCAUUGUAGCAUACAAGGCAUACGGCUCAGUAACGCGUAGUCAACCUAACCUAUGGACGGGAAUAACCUCGGGAAACUGAGAAUAAUGCCCGAUAGAACACUAUACCUGGAAUGGUUUGUGUUCCAAAUGAUUUAUCGCCAUAGGAUGGGACUGCGGCCUAUCAGUUUGUUGGUGAGGUAAUGGCCCACCAAGACUAUUACAGGUACGGGCUCUGAGAGGAGUAGCCCGGAGAUGGGUACUGAGACACGGACCCAGGCCCUAUGGGGCGCAGCAGGCGAGAAAACUUUGCAAUGUGCGAAAGCACGACAAGGUUAAUCCGAGUGAUUUGUGCUAAACGAAUCUUUUGUUAGUCCUAGAAACACUAACGAAUAAGGGGUGGGCAAGUUCUGGUGUCAGCCGCCGCGGUAAAACCAGCACCUCAAGUGGUCAGGAUGAUUAUUGGGCCUAAAGCAUCCGUAGCCGGCUCUGUAAGUUUUCGGUUAAAUCUGUACGCUUAACGUACAGGCUGCCGGGAAUACUGCAAAGCUAGGGAGUGGGAGAGGUAGACGGUACUCGGUAGGAAGUGGUAAAAUGCUUUGAUCUAUCGAUGACCACCUGUGGCGAAAGCGGUCUACCAGAACACGUCCGACGGGUGAGGGAUGAAAGCUGGGGGAGCAAACCCGGGAUUAGAUACCCGGUAGUCCCCAGCUGUAACUUAUGCAACUCAGUGAUGCAUGACUGUGUCAUGCAUGCUGCAGGCAAGCCGUAUUUAAAGAG